rnacentral:rRNA from 1 species
CCUACGGGAGGCAGCAGUGAGGAAUAUUGGUCAAUGGACGAGAGUCUGAACCAGCCAAGUAGCGUGAAGGAUGACUGCCCUAUGGGUUGUAAACUUCUUUUAUAUGGGAAUAAAAUGUUCCACGUGUGGGAUUUUGUAUGUACCAUAUGAAUAAGGAUCGGCUAACUCCGUGCCAGCAGCCGCGGUAAUACGGAGGAUCCGAGCGUUAUCCGGAUUUAUUGGGUUUAAAGGGAGCGUAGGUGGAUUGUUAAGUCAGUUGUGAAAGUUUGCGGCUCAACCGUAAAAUUGCAGUUGAAACUGGCAGUCUUGAGUACAGUAGAGGUGGGAGGAAUUCGUGGUGUAGCGGUGAAAUGCUUAGAUAUCACGAAGAACUCCGAUUGCGAAGGUAGUUCACUGGACUGCAACUGACACUGAGGCUCGAAAGUGUGGGUAUCAAACAGGAUUAGAUACCCGAGUAGUC